rnacentral:rRNA from 1 species
GCUUGGGAAUUUGCCUUUGGGAGGGGGAUAACCACUGGAAACGGUGGCUAAUACCGCAUAACGUCUACGGACCAAAGGGGGCUUUUAGCUCCCACCUAUAGAGAAGCCCAAGUGAGAUUAGCUAGUUGGUGAGGUAAAGGCUCACCAAGGCGACGAUCUCUAGCUGUUCUGAGAGGAAGAUCAGCCACACUGGAACUGAGACACGGUCCAGACUCCUACGGGAGGCAGCAGUGGGGAAUAUUGCACAAUGGGGGAAACCCUGAUGCAGCCAUGCCGCGUGUGUGAAGAAGGCCUGGUUGU